rnacentral:tRNA from 1 species
CGAGAGGUCGCCUAGUCCGGCUUAGGGCGCAGACCUGGAAAGUCUGUGAGCGAAAGCUCCGUGGGUUCGAAUCCCACCCUCUCCGCAA